AAAUUGAAGAGUUUGAUCAUGGCUCAGAUUGAACGCUGGCGGCAGGCCUAACACAUGCAAGUCGAGCGGAAACGAGUUAUCAGAACCUUCGGGGGACGAUAACGGCGUCGAGCGGCGGACGGGUGAGUAAUGCCUAGGAAAUUGCCCUGAUGUGGGGGAUAACCAUUGGAAACGAUGGCUAAUACCGCAUGAUGCCUACGGGCCAAAGAGGGGGACCUUCGGGCCUCUCGCGUCAGGAUAUGCCUAGGUGGGAUUAGCUAGUUGGUGAGGUAAGGGCUCACCAAGGCGACGAUCCCUAGCUGGUCUGAGAGGAUGAUCAGCCACACUGGAACUGAGACACGGUCCAGACUCCUACGGGAGGCAGCAGUGGGGAAUAUUGCACAAUGGGCGCAAGCCUGAUGCAGCCAUGCCGCGUGUAUGAAGAAGGCCUUCGGGUUGUAAAGUACUUUCAGUCGUGAGGAAGGUAGUGUAGUUAAUAGCUGCAUUAUUUGACGUUAGCGACAGAAG
rnacentral:rRNA from 1 species